UCCGAGUUGACCCCGGCAGUCUCCCAUGAGUCCCCACCACUACGUGCUGGCAACAUAGAAUAAGGGUUGCGCUCGUUGCGGGACUUAACCCAACAUCUCACGACACGAGCUGACGACAGCCAUGCACCACCUGUGAUCCUGCCCCGAAGGGAAGCCUUGUUUCCAAGGCGGUCAGGAACAUGUCAAACCCAGGUAAGGUUCUUCGCGUUGCGUCGAAUUAAACCACAUGCUCCGCUGCUUGUGCGGGUCCCCGUCAAUUCCUUUGAGUUUUAGCCUUGCGGCCGUACUCCCCAGGCGGGACACUUAAUGCGUUAGCGCCGGCACGGGGGGAGUCGACACCCCCCACACCUAGUUGACAUCGUUUAGGGCGUGGACUAC
rnacentral:misc_RNA from 1 species